rnacentral:rRNA from 1 species
CCUACGGGUGGCUGCAGUGGGGAAUAUUGGACAAUGGGGGCAACCCUGAUCCAGCCAUGCCGCGUGUGUGAAGAAGGCCCUCGGGUUGUAAAGCACUUUCAGUGAGGAAGAACGCCUGGUGGUUAAUACCCAUCAGGAAAGACAUCACUCACAGAAGAAGCACCGGCUAACUCCGUGCCAGCAGCCGCGGUAAUACGGAGGGUGCGAGCGUUAAUCGGAAUUACUGGGCGUAAAGCGCGCGUAGGUGGCUUGAUAAGCCGGUUGUGAAAGCCCCGGGCUCAACCUGGGAACGGCAUCCGGAACUGUCAAGCUAGAGUGCAGGAGAGGAAGGUAGAAUUCCAGGUGUAGCGGUGAAAUGCGUAGAGAUCGGGAGGAAUACCAGUGGCGAAGGCGGCCUUCUGGACUGACACUGACACUGAGGUGCGAAAGCGUGGGUAGCAAACAGGAUUAGAUACCUUAGUAGUC